AGUCCAUCUUUGUUGGGUGUUGAGUAACUUUCGCGAAGGAAAAUCCAUUUCCAUCGAACUCUACGAAAGGUUUUUUUCUUGUAUAAUAUAGUAUUUGCCUUAGUAUUUAUCCCAGUUUUCGAUAGUUUGUUAAUUGUGUCACCAUUGAUGCCUCUGAACCUGAGAAUUAUGGUUCAAAAGUUACGAAUCGCCGUUGUUUGCUCCAGCAACCAAAACCGCAGUAUGGAAGCGCAUAAUUUCUUAAGCAAGCGCGGUUUCAACGUGAAAUCCUUUGGUUCUGGAGUGCAAGUGAAGCUGCCUGGACCAGCACCGGAUCGACCAAACAUUUAUUCGUUUGAAACAACCUACGAUGAAAUGUACAAAGAUUUACUGAAAAGAGACCCACAACUGUAU